rnacentral:rRNA from 1 species
GAUGAACGCGGCGGCGUGCUUAACACAUGCAAGUCGAGCGAGAAGUUUUGAAAAGAUUCUUCGGAUGAAAUUUAAAAUGGAAAGCGGCGGACGGGUGAGUAACGCGUAGGCAACCUGCCCCAUACAAAGGGAUAGCAUUUGGAAACGAAUAUUAAUACCUUAUGAAACUUAACUAGUGCAUGCUAGGUAGGUCAAAGAUUUAUCGGUAUGGGAUGGGCCUGCGUCUGAUUAGCUAGUUGGUGAGGUAACGGCUCACCAAGGCGACGAUCAGUAGCCGACCUGAGAGGGUGAACGGCCACAUUGGAACUGAGACACGGUCCAAACUCCUACGGGAGGCAGCAGUGGGGAAUAUUGCACAAUGGGGGAAACCCUGAUGCAGCAACGCCGCGUGAACGAUGAAGGCCUUUGGGUCGUAAAGUUCUGUUCUAGGUGAUGAAAAACUGA